GACGGAACGCUGGGCGGCGCGCCUAACACGAUGCAAGUCGAACGAGCGGAGAGAGAGCUUGCUUUCUCGAGCGAGUGGCGAACGGGUGAGUAACGCGUGAGGAACCUGCCUCAAAGAGGGGGACAACAGUUGGAAACGACUGCUAAUACCGCAUAAGCCCACGACCCGGCAUCGGGUUGAGGGAAAAGGAGCAAUCCGCUUUGAGAUGGCCUCGCGUCCGAUUAGCUAGUUGGUGAGGUAACGGCCCACCAAGGCGACGAUCGGUAGCCGGACUGAGAGGUUGAACGGCCACAUUGGGACUGAGACACGGCCCAG
rnacentral:rRNA from 1 species